rnacentral:rRNA from 1 species
AUUGAACGCUGGCGGCAUGCCUUACACAUGCAAGUCGAACGGCAGCACGGGAGCAAUCCUGGUGGCGAGUGGCGAACGGGUGAGUAAUAUAUCGGAACGUGCCCAGUCGUGGGGGAUAACGUAGCGAAAGCUACGCUAAUACCGCAUACGAUCUAUGGAUGAAAGCGGGGGAUCGCAAGACCUCGCGCGAUUGGAGCGGCCGAUAUCAGAUUAGGUAGUUGGUGAGGUAAAGGCUCACCAAGCCGACGAUCUGUAGCUGGUCUGAGAGGACGACCAGCCACACUGGGACUGAAACACGGCCCAGACUCCUACGGGAGGCAGCAGUGAGGAAUAUUGGACAAUGGGCGCAAGCCUGAUCCAGCCAUGCCGCGUGCAGGAAGAAGCAUCUAUGGUGUGUAAACUGCUUUUGUACGGGAAGAAACACUCCUACGUGUAGGAGCUUGACGGUACCGUAAGAAUAAGGAA